UGAACGCUGGCGGCAUGCCUUACACAUGCAAGUCGAACGGCAGCAUGAUCUAGCUUGCUAGAUUGAUGGCGAGUGGCGAACGGGUGAGUAAUACAUCGGAACGUGCCCUGUAGUGGGGGAUAACUAGUCGAAAGAUUAGCUAAUACCGCAUACGACCUGAGGGUGAAAGUGGGGGACCGCAAGGCCUCAUGCUAUAGGAGCGGCCGAUGUCUGAUUAGCUAGUUGGUGGGGUAAAGGCCCACCAAGGCGACGAUCAGUAGCUGGUCUGAGAGGACGAUCAGCCACACUGGGACUGAGACACGGCCCAGACUCCUACGGGAGGCAGCAGUGGGGAAUUUUGGACAAUGGGCGAAAGCCUGAUCCAGCAAUGCCGCGUGUGUGAAGAAGGCCUUCGGGUUGUAAAGCACUUUUGUCCGGAAAGAAAUGGCUCUGGUUAAUACCUGGGGUCGAUGACGGUACCGGAAGAAUAAGGACCGGCUAACUACGUGCCAGCAGCCGCGGUAAUACGUAGGGUCCAAGCGUUAAUCGGAAUUACUGGGCGUAAAGCGUGCGCAGGCGGUUGUGCAAGACCGAUGUGAAAUCCCCGAGCUUAACUUGGGAAUUGCAUUGGUGACUGCACGGCUAGAGUGUGUCAGAGGGGGGUAGAAUUCCACGUGUAGCAGUGAAAUGCGUAGAGAUGUGGAGGAAUACCGAUGGCGAAGGCAGCCCCCUGGGAUAACACUGACGCUCAUGCACGAAAGCGUGGGGAGCAAACAGGAUUAGAUACCCUGGUAGUCCACGCCCUAAACGAUGUCAACUAGUUGUUGGGGAUUCAUUUCCUUAGUAACGUAGCUAACGCGUGAAGUUGACCGCCUGGGGAGUACGGUCGCAAGAUUAAAACUCAAAGGAAUUGACGGGGACCCGCACAAGCGGUGGAUGAUGUGGAUUAAUUCGAUGCAACGCGAAAAACCUUACCUACCCUUGACAUGCCACUAACGAAGCAGAGAUGCAUUAGGUGCUCGAAAGAGAAAGUGGACACAGGUGCUGCAUGGCUGUCCUCAGCUCGUGUCGUGAGAUGUUGGCCCCAAGUCCCGCAACGAGCGCAACCCUUGUCUCUAGUUGCUACGAAAGGGCACUCUAGAGAGACUGCCGGUGACAAACCGGAGGAAGGUGGGGAUGACGUCAAGUCCUCAUGGCCCUUAUGGGUAGGGCUUCACACGUCAUACAAUGGUGCAUACAGAGGGUUGCCAAGCCGCGAGGUGGAGCUAAUCCCAGAAAAUGCAUCGUAGUCCGGAUCGUAGUCUGCAACUCGACUACGUGAAGCUGGAAUCGCUAGUAAUCGCGGAUCAGCAUGCCGCGGUGAAUACGUUCCCGGGUCUUGUACACACCGCC
rnacentral:rRNA from 1 species